GAGACUCUGUGCGCGUGCAUAUCAAUAAGCGGAGGAAAAGAAACUAACAAGGAUUCCCUUAGUAACGGCGAGUGAAGCGGGAAGAGCUCAAACUUGAAAUCUUCAAGGUUCUACCUUGACGAAUUGUAGUUUAAAGAAGUGUUUUCUGUUAGAUGAGUAGCAAAAGUUCCUUGGAAUGGGACAUCAUAGAGGGUGAGAAUCCCGUAUUUGGUUAUUCAUUCUAGCUUUGUGAUACACUUUCAAAGAGUCGGAUUGUUUGGGAAUGCAGUCCAAAAUGGGUGGUAAAUUUCAUCUAAAGCUAAAUAUUGGCGAGAGACCGAUAGCGAACAAGUACCGUGAGGGAAAGAUGAAAAGAACUUUGAAAAGAGAGUUAAACAGUACGUGAAAUUGUCAAAAGGGAAGCGUUUGACACCAGUGUUGUUUUUCCGAAAAUCAAUUACGAAUGGCUUGAUUUUGUGUUGUAUUGACCUUAUCAGCUUUCUGCACUUUUUUCGAGUCUUUCUUAAUGCACUUUUCGGUUAACAAGUCAACAUCAAUUUCUUUUGUUGUAAAAGAGUAUUCGGAAGGUGGCUUUCUUUUCGGAGAAAGUGUUUAUAGCCCUAUACUUCUACAAUCGGAGAGAUUGAGGUCUGCAGCGUAGAUCCUUCGGGGUUAGAUACACUUGUGCUAAGUUGUAGCUUUUCAUAGACAACUUGUUGACUAUGUUUAGUCAUGCGGCUUACUCGCUUGUGCUAUUUUACCUACGCUUAGGAUGUUGACUGAUAUGUAGUCGU
rnacentral:rRNA from 1 species